GAAACACGAUACCGAAGCUCAGGAGUGUGUAAAAGCACACUGGUAGAGGAGCAAUCUCAACGCGCAGAAGCAGUACCGAUAAGGAGCUGUGGAGUGUUGAGAAGAGAGAAUGCCGGAAUGAGUAGCGAGAAUGAUGUGAGAAUCAUCAUGGCCGAAUAUCCAAGGAUUCCAGGGUAAAGCUGAUCUGCCCUGGGUAAGUCGGGACCUAAGGCAAGGACGAGAGUCGUAGUCGAUGGACAGCUGGUUCAGAUUCCAGCACCUGACAUGAUCAGAACUGUGGGGACACAGAGACGUAACCGGACCCGGGAGAGCAAAGACCGGGCCAAGCGAAGUAGGUGUGCGGAAGGCAAAUCCGCCGCACAAGCCGAAGGCGUUAAGGGGAGCGAAAUCAAGUAGCGAAGCCGGUGACCGUAACUGUCAAGAAAAGCCGCUAUUGUAUCAUGUCAGCCCGUACCGCAAACCGACACAGGUGGAUGAGGAGAGAAUCCUAAGGCCGGCGGGAGAAGCAUUGUUAAGGAACUCGGCAAAAUGACCCCGUAACUUCGGGAGAAGGGGUGCUGCAGAGAUGCAGCCGCAGAGAAAAGGCUCAAGCAACUGUUUAGCAAAAACACAGGUCUAUGCGAAACCGUAAGGUGAAGUAUAUGGGCUGACGCCUGCCCGGUGCUGGAAGGUUAAGAGGAGAGGUUAGCGUAAGCGAAGCUUUGAAUUUAAGCCCCAGUAAACGGCGGCCGUAACUAUAACGGUCCUAAGGUAGCGAAAUUCCUUGUCGGGUAAGUUCCGACCCGCACGAAAGGCGUAAUGAUUUGAGCGCUGUCUCAACAAUGCACCCGGUGAAAUUGAAGUACCAGUGAAGAUGCUGGUUACCUGCGCCAGGACGGAAAGACCCCAUGGAGCUUUACUCUAGUUUGAUACCGGGAUCCGGUGUUACUCGUACAGGAUAGGUGGGAGGCUACGAAGUAUGGACGCCAGUCUAUACGGAGCCGCUGUUGGGAUACCACCCCUGUGGCACUGGGUUUCUAACCUGCGUCCAUUAUCUGGACGGGGGACAAUGUCAGAUGGGGAGUUUGACUGGGGCGGUCGCCUCCGAAAGAGUAUCGGAGGCGCUCAAAGGUUCCCUCAGAAUGGUUGGAAACCAUUCGCAGAGCGCAAAGGCAGAAGGGAGCUUGACUGCGACACCGACGGGUGGAGCAGGUACGAAAG
rnacentral:rRNA from 1 species